CUUGAAAGGAUUAUAGACUUUUGUUCUGUUUAUUUUUGUUCUAGGCUGCUAUUUUGUACAUGUGGCAUUGAGGAAUGCCUUUUUUGUUUGGACGAUAUUUUGUUCCGCAAAGAAUGAGAAUGAAAAUAACGAAAUUAUAUCACUGAUGAAAUUCCCACUAUACAGCAUUUAUAGUAUUCCUCUUCAUCUACUUCUAUUUCUCUCUUUAUUAGGUUACAGAUCUUAUGCCUGUCAGUGUUCAUGGGUUCAUGUUAAUAAAUUAGUUAAUAUUAAUAAUAUGAAAUCGUUAAAGUGGACCUGUGGGAGACACUAGUAAUAAUAACAGCAUAAUAAUGAAUGUACUGCUGCUAUUAUCACUUAUUAAUGACAUUUUAAUUAUUGACUAUUAUAUCACUUUUUAAAAUGUAUUAAAAUAUUAUACAAACCCCCUAAUAUCAA